rnacentral:rRNA from 1 species
CCCCUAGAUGUUCUGGGCCGCACGCGCGCUACACUGAACAGUUCAACAAGUCUUAACCUUGGCCGAUAGGUCUGGGUAAUCUUUGAACGCUGUUCGUGAUUGGGAUAGACCUUUGCAAUUAUGGGUCUUCAACGAGGAAUUCCUAGUAAACGCAAGUCAUCAGCUUGCAUUGAUUACGUCCCUGCCCUUUGUACACACCGCCCGUCGCACCUACCGAUUGAACGUUUUAGUGAGGUAUUUGGACUGGACCUUCGGAGGUUCGCGCCUCCGUUGCUGUUCGGGAAGACUCCCAAACUUGAGCGUUUAGAGGAAGUAAAANUCGUANCA